GGAGCUUGCUCCCUGAGAUUAGCGGCGGACGGGUGAGUAACACGUGGGCAACCUGCCUAUAAGACUGGGAUAACUUCGGGAAACCGGAGCUAAUACCGGAUACGUUCUUUUCUCGCAUGAGAGAAGAUGGAAAGACGGUUUACGCUGUCACUUAUAGAUGGGCCCGCGGCGCAUUAACUAGUUGGUGAGGUAAUGGCUCACCAAGGCGACGAUGCGUAGCCGACCUGAGAGGGUGAUCGGCCACACUGGGACUGAGACACGGCCCAGACUCCUACGGGAGGCAGCAGUAGGGAAUCUUCCGCAAUGGACGAAAGUCUGACGGAGCAACGCCGCGUGAACGAAGAAGGCCUUCGGGUCGUAAAGUUCUGUUGUUAGGGAAGAACAAGUACCAGAGUAACUGCUGGUACCUUGACGGUACCUAACCAGAAAGCCACGGCUAACUACGUGCCAGCAGCCGCGGUAAUACGUAGGUGGCAAGCGUUGUCCGGAAUUAUUGGGCGUAAAGCGCGCGCAGGUGGUUCCUUAAGUCUGAUGUGAAAGCCCACGGCUCAACCGUGGAGGGUCAUUGGAAACUGGGGAACUUGAGUGCAGAAGAGGAAAGUGGAAUUCCAAGUGUAGCGGUGAAAUGCGUAGAGAUUUGGAGGAACACCAGUGGCGAAGGCGACUUUCUGGUCUGUAACUG
rnacentral:rRNA from 1 species